rnacentral:rRNA from 1 species
UACGUAGGGUGCAAGCGUUAAUCGGAAUUACUGGGCGUAAAGUGUGCGCAGGCGGCAGAGCAAGUCGAGUGUGAAAGCCCCGAGCUUAACUUGGGAAUUGCGCUCGAAACUACUUUGCUGGAGUGUGGCAGAGGAAGGUGGAAUUCCAGGUGUAGCGGUGAAAUGCGUAGAGAUCUGGAGGAACACCGAUGGCGAAGGCAGCCUUCUGGGCCAACACUGACGCGUCAUGCACGAAAGCGUGGGG